rnacentral:rRNA from 1 species
GACGAACGCUGGCGGCGUGCUUAACACAUGCAAGUCGAACGGAAAGGCCCUGCGUUUGUGGCGUGCUCGAGUGGCGAACGGGUGAGUAACACGUGAGUAACCUGCCCUUGACUUUGGGAUAACUUCAGGAAACUGGGGCGAAUACCGGGUAGGAGAUCCUGCUGCAUGGUGGGGGUUGGAAAGUUUCGGCCGUGGGGGAUGGACUGGCGGGUUAUCAGCUGGUUGGUGGGGUAGUGGCGUACCAAGGCUUUGACGGGUAGCCGGCAUGGGAGGGUAACCGGCGUCAUGGGGACUGCGAUACGCCGCAGUCGCCAAUGGGAGGCAGUAGUGGGGAACAUUGCACAAUGGGCGGAAGCGUGAGACAGCAACGCCGCGAGCGGGAUGACCGCUUUCGGGUGGAAAACCGCUUUCGCCUGUGAUGAAGCGGGAGUGACGGUAAUGGGUAAAGAAGCACCGGCUAACUACGUG